GUUGAAAAUGGUGUGUGUAUGCACCCAUGUAUAUUUUGUGUGUGGAGGGUGCCAUGCUUUGAUCUCAGUGGUGGAAUACAAGUGUUCUGGGGGAAUUUGGUUUGAGAACCACUGGGUUUGACCUUCUCCCUCAGGCCAGUAAGAAGCUGGGCUUGGCAGCUGUAGCAUUCAGUAGGCUCCUUCUGCAGCAGCACUGCUUGGGAAUUGACUGGAAACACAGACUCUGCAACACCCUCCCCAAACUGCAGAACCAUCAACCUAAGUGGGCCUAGGAAGCUGUAUUUCAGAAGGUUCUCCUGUGUUCCAGUGCACAGUGAGGAUGCCUCUGACAGUCAGGAAAAGACAGAGAUGGACGGAUCUCAGGAAAGAAGGGAGUGAUAUGCAGACUGUCUGUGAGCCAAGCAGGAAGUAGUUUCCCACUGAGGACUGCCCUGACAAGCAGAAGGAGCCUCAGCUGAAAAAUGAGGAUUUGGGCUAAAGUUCUGUGACCCCAUCCAUAGGGACCCUGCUCCCCUCCUUGUUUCCCCAAGUUGCCAUUUCUCUCCCCCCACACCUACAGCUUUAUGGCCAGGAGUGGUGGCACCCAGCACUCACUCAUACCGCGGAUCCCUGGAUUAUAACCAGCUUUUGGAGCUCAAGGGGACUGUGCAGUAUUUAAUGACUCAACUCCGGAUGUUUCCUUUCCACUGAUGUCAGUUUAUAGAGCAGCUCUCAAGCGAAUGUUUGUGCAGAAAGGAAAGAGGUAGGGAGCCCUUGGGACCCUAAGAAUAAGUGGGCUUCAGCUGCUGCCCCCAUUUGCUAUGGGGGCCAGGCCCUGAUACUUCAGUGCCUGAUGCUUCCGGUUUCUAG
ensembl:lncRNA